rnacentral:rRNA from 1 species
UACGUAGGGUGCAGGCGUUAAUCGGAAUUACUGGGCGUAAAGCGUGCGCAGGCGGUUUGCUAAGAGAGAUGUGAAAUCCCCGGGCUUAACCUGGGAACUGCAUCUGUGACUGCAUCGCUGGAGUGCGGCAGAGGGGGAUGGAAUUCCGCGUGUAGCAGUGAAAUGCGUAGAUAUCGAGAGGAACACCUGCGGCGAAGGCGGGUUGCUGGGCUGAUACUGACGCUGAGGCGCGAAAGCGUGGGGAGCGAACAGG